AGCUUUGUGCAGUGGCAGUAUUGUAGCCAAUGAGCUUUAUCUGAGUUGUGAUUAUUGUUAUUAAAAACUUUUCCCAAUACUCUGCCGUGACAGCUUGCAGUAUAGAUGGCACUAGGAAUUUUUUUUCUUUUUUGAGA